GGUUUAAAUAACCCAUAUAGAG
rnacentral:misc_RNA from 1 species